rnacentral:rRNA from 1 species
AGAUAGUGGCGAACGGGUGAGUAACACGUAAGUAACCUGCCCUCAAGUGGGGAAUAACCUCGGGAAACCGGAGUUAAUACCGCAUGUGGUAGUGGGGUGGAUGCUCCACUACUAAAGCCUUCGGGCGCUUGGGGAGGGGCUUGCGGACGAUUAGCUAGUUGGUAGGGUAAUGGUCUACCAAGGCGAUGAUCGGUAGCUGGUUUGAGAGGACGGCCAGCCACACUGGGACUGAGACACGGCCCAGACUCCUACGGGAGGCAGCAGCAAGGAAUAUUGCGCAAUGGGCGAAAGCCUGACGCAGCAACGUCGCGUGGGGGAUGAAGGCCCUCGGGUUGUAAACCCCUUUUAUCAGGGAAGAAUAAUGACGGUACCUGAAGAAUAAGUCUCGGCUAACUACGUGCCAGCAGCCGCGGUAAUACGUAGGAGGCGAGCGUUAUCCGGAUUUACUGGGCGUAAAGAGCGCGUAGGUGGCUUUUCAAGUCGGAUGUAAAAUCUCCCGGCUCAACCGGGAGGCACCAUUCGAUACUGUUGGGCUAGAGGGCAGCAGAGGGAGAUGGAAUUCCCGGUGUAGUGGUGAAAUGCGUAGAUAUCGGGAGGAACACCAGUGGCGAAGGCGAUCUCCUGGGCUGUACCUGACACUGAGGCGCGAAAGCGUGGGGAGCGAACAGGAUUAGAUACCCUGGUAGUCCACGCCGUCAACGAUGGACACU